GGAGAGAUGGCAGAGUGGUCGAAUGCGCCGGACUCGAAAUCCGGUAUAGCCUUAUGGGUUAUCCAGGGUUCGAAUCCCUGUCUCUCCGCCG
rnacentral:tRNA from 1 species